CAGAAUGAAUCACGAGAAAAAGGGAUUGUAAUUUAUUUUGAAACACACUGUAUCACGAUAAGAAUUGGUAGGAGUAAUGAAAUCCUAAUUCAACAUUUACGGAUUAAAUAUUAAGAAGAGCUUUUUUUUAUUGAUUUAAGACAGAUUAUAUUACGAGAAAAAGUGGUUAUAAUCAAUUUAAAACAAAUUGCAUCACGAGAAGAAGAGAAAAAAUAUUCCUAUACUAUAAGUAUCAAGAUGAAAAUAGUGUUAUUUACAUAUAUUUUCUUGAAUGGCAGCUUUCUGGCCAAAGAAUUGGCAGCUUUCUGGCCACGGCUUUUGAUAGAGAUGACGAAGACAUUGUUGAACCAUAACUGAGCAACGCCCAUUAUUGAGCAAUAAAAUAAGUAUUAGCAAAAUAAUGAAAGUCAAUACCCACUAUCUGAUAGUGAGAGUAUAAUGCAGCAGUUUAUAAAUAUUUAUACAUAUUUUUUGUGUUUGUAUUUAAAUAACCUUGAUUUUA